GGCGACCUGCUUUCCCUUGGAUCCAUCGUCCAAAGGCCUUUUACCGGAAGUAGUCUCGGAUCCUUCCGAGAUAACAACACCCUUCGAAGCAGAAGUGGCGGCCUUUUGAGCCACAACCUUGGCGAGGUCACUGAGCUUGAGUCUCUUAGACAUAGCCAAUCACUAAUUUAUGAGGCGUCCUAGAAGGUGAGACGUCGGAGCAGGUCCAAUAGUACAAUAGUGAGGUCGAAAAGUACCGAAGGACAAGGGAGCCCCCUAUAUAUAGAGAUAAUCAACGGUCCAGAUCUACUCAUAACAACGAUUGGGAUGUGGGGACGCUUCGAACAGAGUUCCGCAUUUAAGACCUCCUUGCCACGUGGGCUCCGUCGAGUAGUUGCCACCAUCAUUAAGG
rnacentral:lncRNA from 1 species